AGUUGGAUUGCUGGGUCAUGUGGUAACUUUAUGUUUAACCAUUAGAGGAAUUGCCAAAGUGACUGCACCAUCUUACAUUCCCACCAGCAU
rnacentral:pre_miRNA from 1 species